ACGAAUGAUAUUUUGUACUGGGCUUUGAGCAGUUUCUCACUUUAUUAUAAGGGGAAUGCUGCUUAGGAAGCUAAAUCUGAUAC
rfam:Cucumis melo, WGS project CAJI01000000 data, contig: 09788